rfam:Hordeum vulgare subsp. vulgare, WGS project CAJW01000000 data, contig: morex_contig_1591613
UUUAUACUCCCUUCGUUCCAAAUUUUUUGUGUUAGGUUUGUUUAGAAAUGAGUGUAUCUAAAUACUAAAAUGUAAUUAGAUACAUUCAUAUCUAGACAAAUCUAAGACAAUAAUUUUAGGACGGAGGGAGUAUUUU